GCAGAAUUCAGUGAAUCAUCGAAUCUUUGAACGCACCUUGCGCUCCUUGGUAUUCCGAGGAGCAUGCCUGUUUGAGUGUCAUGGUA
rnacentral:rRNA from 6 species